rnacentral:rRNA from 1 species
UACGUAGGUGGCAAGCGUUGUCCGGAAUUAUUGGGCGUAAAGAGCUCGUAGGCGGCUUGUCACGUCGAUUGUGAAAGCCCGGGGCUUAACCUCGGGUCUGCAGUCGAUACGGGCUGGCUAGAGUGUGGUAGGGGAGAUCGGAAUUCCUGGUGUAGCGGUGAAAUGCGCAGAUAUCAGGAGGAACACCGGUGGCGAAGGCGGAUCUCUGGGCCAUUACUGACGCUGAGGAGCGAAAGCGUGGGGAGCGAACAGG